GGAUAGAUCCAUGAUUUGAUUCGUCCCCGCACGUGCGGCUCGGUGACGGUGACUUGUCACUCGAUUGCAUUGGUCAUCAACCGUCUUUUUUACAUGACCACGGAAUCAAAAACAUAAACAACAGCAAAUGAGUGGCGUGUUAUUAUCGAAAACACAGAGCUCCCAGCAGUGGUGACACAGCUAAAAUAAGUUAUUGAAAAAAUCACAGUACAGAGCUCAACUCCUGCAUCCACCUGAUCAACAUCCACAUCUGGAGACCCACCAUUUUCUCCACCCGGCUCUCCUCAAGUGUCUGACCCUAAUGAAAUGGUGCUUCUUGUGCCAGGCCAUGACGUCAAAGUACCAAGACGAAAGCUGAAGUCUCUGCGGACUACAAAUUCAGCAUUGUACAUUGGGGAUCUUGCGGUGCUCAUCUAUGGUAGAGAAACGCUGUCCAAUUCAAGUUUGACCGGGAGGCAGUCAGGGGCUCACAAAGAAGUGGAAUCAAAGCCACAACUGGAUAACACAAAGCUCGAUGCUAU
ensembl:lncRNA